CCUACGGGAGGCAGCAGUGAGGAAUAUUGGUCAAUGGGCGCGAGCCUGAACCAGCCAAGUAGCGUGAAGGAUGACUGCCCUACGGGUUGUAAACUGCUUUUAUAAAGGAAUAAAAUGAGGCACGUGUGCCUCUUUUUAUAUAUGUUAUGAAUAAGGAGAGGCUAACUUCGUGCCAGCAGCCGCGGUAAUACGGAGGAUCCGAGCGUUAUCCGGAUUGAUUGGGUUUAAAGGGAGCGUAGAGGGGUUGUUAAGUCAGUUGUGAAAGUUUGCGGCUCAACCGUAAAAUUGCAAUUGAUACUGGCAGGCUUGAGUGCAGUUGAGGUAGGCGGAAUUCGUGGUGUAGCGGUGAAAUGCUUAGAUAUCACGAAGAACUCCGAUUGCGAAGGCAGCUUACUAAACUGCCACUGACAUUGAUGCUCGAAAGUGUGGGUAUCAAACAGGAUUAGAUACCCGUGUAGUG
rnacentral:rRNA from 1 species